UACGUCCCUGCCCUUUGUACACACCGCCCGUCGCUCCUACCGAUUGAGCAAUCCGGUGAAUAUUUUGGACUGGAUUCUGGCGGGGCAACUCGCUCAGAAACCGGAAAAUCAAGUUAACCUUAUUGCUUAGAGGAAGGAGAAGUCGUAACAAGGUUUCCGUAGGUGAACCUGC
rnacentral:rRNA from 1 species